AUGAACGCUGGCGGUAUGCUUAACACAUGCAAGUCGAACGGAAUCUUAGGAUUUAGUGGCGGACGGGUGAGUAACGCGUGAGAAUCUGGCUUCAGGUCGGGGACAACAGUUGGAAACGACUGCUAAUACCAGGAUAUGCCGAGAGGUGAAAGAUUAAUUGCCUGGAGAUGAGCUCGCGUCUGAUUAGCUAGUUGGUGGGGUAAGAGCCUACCAAGGCGACGAUCAGUAGCUGGUCUGAGAGGAUGAUCAGCCAACACUGGGACUGUAGACACGGCCCAGACUCCUACGGGAUGGCAGCAGUGGGGAAUUUUCCGCAAUGGGCGAAAGCCUGACGGAGCAAUACCCGCGUGAGGGAGGAAAGGCUCUUGGGUCGUAAACCUCUUUUCUCAGGGAAGAAAAAAAUGACGGUACCUGAGGAAUAAGCAUCGGCUAACUCCGUGCCAGCAGCCCGCGGUAAUACGGAGGAUGCAAGCGUUAUCCGGAAUGAUUGGGCGUAAAGGGUCCGCAGGUGGCUAUGUAAGUCUGCUGUUAAAGAGUCUAGCUCAACUAGAUAAAAGCAGUGGAAACUACAUAGCUUGAGUGCGUUCGGGGCAGAGGGAAUUCCUGGUGUAGCGGUGAAAUGCGUAGAUAUCAGGAAGAACACCGGUGGCGAAAGCGCUCUGCUAGGCCGCAACUGACACUGAGGGACGAAAGCUAGGGGAGCAAAUGGGAUUAGAUACCCCAGUAGUUCCUAGCCGUAAACGAUGGAUACUAGGCGUGGCUUGUAUCGACCCGAGCCGUGCCGUAGCUAAACGCGUUAAGUAUCCAGCCUAGGGGAUGUACGCACGCAAGGUGUGAAACUCAAAGGAAUUGACGGGGCCCGCACAAGCGGUGGAGUAUGUGGUUUAAUUCGAUGCAACGCGUAAGAACCUUACCAAGACUUGACAUGUCGCGAAUCCUCUUGAAAGGGUAGUGAGUGCCCUGCGUGAGCGCGAACACAUGGUGGUGCAUGGCUGUCGUCAGCUCGUGUCGUGAGAUGUUGGGUUAAGUCCCGCAACGAGCGCAACCCUCGUUUUUAGUUGCCAGCAUAAGUUGGGCACUCUAGAGAGACUGCCGGUGACAAACCGGAGGAAGGUGAGGAUGACGUCAAGUCAGCAUGCCCCUUACGUCUUGGGCUACACACGUACUACAAUGCUACGGACAAAGGGCAGCUACACAGCGAUGUGAUGCUAAUCUCAUAAACCGUAGCUCAGUUCAGAUCGCAGGCUGCAACUCGCCUGCGUGAAGGAGGAAUCGCUAGUAAUUGCAGGUCAGCAUACUGCAGUGAAUUCGUUCCCGGGCCUUGUACACACCGCCCGUCACACCAUGGAAGUUGGUUCACGCCCGAAGUCAUUACCCCAACACUUUUGGAGGGGGAUGCCUAAGGUAGGACUGGUGACAUGGGGUG
rnacentral:rRNA from 1 species